UGAUGAUUUGGCUAAGCUCAUGUUAACUUACUUCCCUUCAUCUCCUGAAGCUCAGUUAAAGUUCAUUACCUGGGAGCCCAUUACAAAGUGCACUUCCCUGAUAGAUCCUCCAAAUAUCUCUAGGACCAAAUUGUAGGAAUUAAACACCAGGGUUAGUCAUACAUCCACAUAGGUACUGCAUGUGGCAGUUUGACAUCU